CUCUCUGUAGAUCAGUUGGUUAGAGCGAUGCACCGGAAUUGCUGGGCUGCAGGUGCGAUUCUUGCCAUAGGGC